UACGAAGGGGGCUAGCGUUGUUCGGAAUCACUGGGCGUAAAGCGCACGCAGGCGGAUUGAUAAGUCAGGGGUGAAAUCCCGGGGCUCGACCUCGGAAUUGCCUUUGAUACUGUCUGUCUUGAGUUCGGGAGAGGUUGGCGGAAUUCCUAGUGUAGAGGUGAAAUUCGUAGGUAUUAGGAAGAACACCAGUGGCGAAGGCGGCCAACUGGCCCGAUACUGACGCUCUUGUGCGAAAGCGUGGGGAGCAAACAGG
rnacentral:rRNA from 1 species